rnacentral:piRNA from 1 species
GAACCAUGGAGGCCUGCCUUC